rnacentral:rRNA from 1 species
UAGGGAAUCUUCCGCAAUGGACGAAAGUCUGACGGAGCAACGCCGCGUGAGUGAAGAAGGUUUUCGGAUCGUAAAGCUCUGUUGUCAGGGAAGAACAAGUACCAAAGUAACUGUUGGUACCUUGACGGUACCUGACCAGAAAGCCACGGCUAACUACGUG